UAGCAUAUCAAUAAGCGGAGGAAAAGAAACCAACAGGGAUUGCCCCAGUAACGGCGAGUGAAGCGGCAACAGCUCAAAUUUGAAAUCUGGCCCCUAGGGUCCGAGUUGUAAUUUGUAGAGGAUGCUUUUGGUGAGGUGCCGCCCGAGUUCCCUGGAACGGGACGCCACAGAGGGUGAGAGCCCCGUCUGGCUGGCCGCCGAGCCUCUGUAAAGCUCCUUCGACGAGUCGAGUAGUUUGGGAAUGCUGCUCAAAAUGGGAGGUAUAUGUCUUCUAAAGCUAAAUAUUGGCCAGAGACCGAUAGCGCACAAGUAGAGUGAUCGAAAGAUGAAAAGCACCUUGAAAAGAGGGUUAAAUAGUACGUGAAAUUGUUGAAAGGGAAGCGCUUGUGACCAGACUUGGGCGCGGCGGAUCAUCCGGGGUUCUCUCCGGUGCACUUCGCCGCGUCUAGGCCAGCAUCAGUUCGUCGCGGGGGAAAAAGGCUUCGGGAACGUGGCUCCUCCGGGAGUGUUAUAGCCCGUUGCAUAAUACCCUGCGGUGGACUGAGGACCGCGCAUCUGCAAGGAUGCUGGCGUAAUGGUCACCAGCGACCCGUCUUGAAACACGGACCAAGGAGUCGUCUUCGUAUGCGAGUGUUCGGGUGUCAAACCCCUACGCGUAAUGAAAGUGAACGCAGGUGAGAGCUUCGGCGCAUCAUCGACCGAUCCUGAUGUUCUCGGAUGGAUUUGAGUAAGAGCAUACGGGGCCGGACCCGAAAGAAGGUGAACUAUGCCUGUAUAGGGUGAAGCCAGAGGAAACUCUGGUGGAGGCUCGCAGCGGUUCUGACGUGCAAAUCGAUCGUCAAAUAUGGGCAUGGGGGCGAAAGACUAAUCGAACCUUCUAGUAGCUGGUUCCCC
rnacentral:rRNA from 1 species